UGGGGAAUAUUGCACAAUGGGCGGAAGCCUGAUGCAGCGACGCCGCGUGGGGGAUGAAGGCCUUCGGGUUGUAAACUCCUUUCGACAGGGACGAAGCUUUUGUGACGGUACCUGUAUAAGAAGCACCGGCUAACUACGUGCCAGCAGCCGCGGUAAUACGUAGGGUGCGAGCGUUGCCCGGAAUUACUGGGCGUAAAGAGCUCGUAGGUGGUUUGUCGCGUCGUCUGUGAAAUUCCGGGGCUUAACUCCGGGCGUGCAGGCGAUACGGGCUGACUUGAGUGCUGUAGGGGAGACUGGAAUUCCUGGUGUAGCGGUGAAAUGCGCAGAUAUCAGGAGGAACACCGAUGGCGAAGGCAGGUCUCUGGGCAGUAACUGACGCUGAGGAGCGAAAGCAUGGGUAGCGAACAGGAUUAGAUACCCUGGUAGUCCAUGCCGUAAACGGUGGGCGCUAGGUGUAGGGGGCUUCCACGUCUUCUGUGCCGUAGCUAACGCAUUAAGCGCCCCGCCUGGGGAGUACGGCCGCAAGGCUA
rnacentral:rRNA from 1 species